rnacentral:lncRNA from 7 species
AUCUGCUUGACCUUGCGAGUUGGGCACCGUUGAACGGACUUCGCGCAUGGUGCAUCAACCCACGGUGCACCGUACCCCUGGCCAUAUAUAUUUGAAGCCGCCCUCCUCACCGAGAUGCUCCGCGCCGUGUCGCGCCCAACACCGCCACCCAUUAAUCCAUUGCACGACAUCGCUAAAGCCUUGGGAAGUUCUCAGGAAUCAUCAUCGGUGCACGAGGAAUUCAACGUGGCCUCUCCGGGGGCGAUUCUCCACUAGAACCACCAGAAUUGCUCACCGAUGCUCCUGCUCCGCCGCGGGUUCUCUGUACACCGAGGGCGGGGAUCGUCGCGGCAUAAUCACAGAAUAUGG